rnacentral:rRNA from 1 species
GACGAACGCUGGCGGCGUGCCUAAUACAUGCAAGUCGAACGAGAGCGACCGGUGCUUGCACUGGUCAAUCUAGUGGCGAACGGGUGAGUAACACGUGGGUAACCUGCCCAUCAGAGGGGGAUAACAUCCGGAAACGGAUGCUAAAACCGCAUAGGUCUUCGAACCGCAUGGUUUGAAGAGGAAAGGAGGCGCAAGCUUCUGCUGAUGGAUGGACCCGCGGUGCAUUAGCUAGUUGGUGAGGUAACGGCUCACCAAGGCCGUGAUGCAUAGCCGACCUGAGAGGGUGAUCGGCCACAUUGGGACUGAGACACGGCCCAAACUCCUACGGGAGGCAGCAGUAGGGAAUCUUCCGCAAUGGACGCAAGUCUGACGGAGCAACGCCGCGUGAGUGAAGAAGGUUUUCGGAUCGUAAAACUCUGUUGUUAGAGAAGAACAAGUGCUAGAGUAACUGUUAGCGCCUUGACGGUAUCUAACCAGAAAGCCACGGCUAACUACGUG